AAUAUAAUUUAGUGGGUAGGAUCUAAAUGCCAUCCUUUGGCUCGCGGUCUCCUCUCAAAGUUUGCGGAUUGUCCAUGUUGGAGUUUGUAUAUUAAAUGUAAUGGCAGGCAACACUUGACACUUGAUUAGAUUUCGAAUAUUGGAAUUAUUUUAAAUGUUUUAAAAAACAGAUCAUUGUAUUCUCGUAAGAAAAUGUCAGUGACUUCUCAUCUAGACACGGCAAGACAAACAUGUAAUAGUUAUAUAAAAAAUAUAAAGAUAAUAAUUGUAUAAUGGUGUAAAAGUGUUCAAGCAAUCUGCAAUAUAAUUAUAAUGAAGCAGUUGUGUUUUUAAAUAGCCCCUCAUCACCUAAAGACCCAAUCCCCUCAAAUGUAACCAUCCAACAGGUUAUGGGCCCAGACCAGAAUUUAUAAGGUAAUAUUUAUUAUAGUUUGCUGAUUAAAACAUCACCUACGCCUACAACUUCACCAUGGAAACGAAACUGUUUGUAAAAAUUUUUCUUAGCAACCAAUAUGAAAUGAAUUUAAUGAAAAUAAAACCAUUAAAAAAAACAGAAAAUGUUAUAAUAUUUGGCUGAAAUACCAAACAGAAUUAUAAGAGUAUGAGAUAAGGUAAUAGAAGGGAGAACAACAAAUAAAAAAUAAUCGUGAAGACGAAGUCGACAAAGUUCGAGAAGGUGCUAGAGGAAGAUAUGGAGUUAAUGAAGUUCGAGAAGGUGAUAGAGGAAGAAAUGGAGUUAAUGGAGUUCGAGAAGGUGAUUUUAGAGGAAAUAGUAGUAAUGGAGGUAAUGAAGUUCGAGAAGGUGAAAUAGGAAGAAAUGGAGAGUUAGUGGAGUUCGAGAAGGUGAUAUUAGAGGAAAUAAUACUAAUGGAGUGUAAUAAAGUAGAAAUGGCGUAUAGUUCGAGAAGAUGUUGUUGAAAGGCGAAAUAAUAGAGAAUGAAAUGAAAAUGGAACAAAUGAUGGCAGAUUAACAAAUGAAAAUCUGGUCAUGGAAAACUUUGAGACUUUAAGUGACUUUGAGACAUUUUUAAAAAAAAAGUGAACUUGUGUUUUGGGAGAAAUGGGUUAGUUUAUAAGAUUGAUAGGGAAAUUUAAAUGCUAUAUACAACAGUUUAUAUAACUAAAAAGAGACAAGGAUAAUUCAAAAAUUAAGGGGGUGCUCUCUUUCCACCGACAUAAACAAUUAAGGGGGUGAUUAAAAAAAAAAAAAAAAAAUAUAAUUGUUUAUUAAUAAUACUAUAAAUAAAAUAGAUAGUCUAGCCGUGGAAAAAGUACACAUUAUUUGAUACAAACAUAUUUACAGUCGUUUUUUAAUAUCCUUUUGAGUCUCUUUUAUAGUUUUGUUUAUUGUUGGUUUUGUAUAAUAGAUGUUAGGAAUAUUACUUUAUUAUUUUGGUUUUAGUUUUUAUAUUAAAUGAUUGAAUGCUUAAUAAGUAAAAGAAAGUGAGAAAAUUUAAUAAGUGAAAGAUAUUAAGAUAAUGAAAGGUUGUUAUGGAAAUGAAAAGUUAUAUUUGAGUUCGAGUGUUGAAUAAAGCUAUCUGAGGUUAUUUGUUAUGUUAUGUUGUCGUUUGUGAGUGGAGAUAAAGGAGUUGAAAGGUUAAAAGAGUCGAGUAGGAGUUAAAGGUAAAAGAGUCGAGUAGGAGUUAAAGGUUAGAGUCGAGAAGGAGUUAAAGGUUAGAGUCGAGAAGGAGUUAAAGGUUAGAGUCGAGAAGGAGUUAAAGGUUAGAGUCGAGAAGGAGUUAAAGGUUAGAGUCGAGAAGGAGUUAAAGGUUAGAGUCGAGAAGGAGUUAAAGGUUAGAGUCGAGAAGGAGUUAAAGGUUAGAGUCGAGAAGGAGUUAAAGGUUAGAGUCGAGAAGGCGUUAAAGGUUAGAGUCGAGAAGGCGUUAAAGGUUAGAGUCGAGAAGGCGUUUAAGGUUAGAGUCGAGAAGGCGUUUAAGGUUAGAGUCGAGAAGGCGUUUAAGGUUAUUAAAGAGGUUGAGAAGGCGUUUAAGGUUAUUAAAGAGGUUGAGAAGGCGUUUAAGGUUAUUAAAGAGGUUGAGAAGGCGUUUAAGGUUAUUUAAGAGGUUGAGAAGGCGUUUAAGGUUAUUUAAGAGGUUGAGAAGGCGUUAAAAGUUUUAAAUAAACUUGAAGAGUUUAUGUAGGGAGUCAAGAAGGAGUUAAAGACUAUUAUAGUCAAUGUUUUAUAUAAUGAGUCAAGAGGGAAGUUAAGGUUGAAUGGUUGUGUGGUUGAAUGAGAGUACAUGUAUGAUCGAAUUGGAGUUGGAGUAAGAAAGGAUUAAAAGUAGCGACAUUAAAGAUGGUAUUAAGUUUGAAAGGUUGAAUGAAUAGUUGUUGGUUGAAUUGAGGGAUUAAGUGGAAGUAACGGAAUGUAAGUGGUUGUGAGGUUUUAAGGUAUGUAUGGAAAGUAGUUAAUUUAUGGUCAGGUUAACGUUAUUCUUUUUGGUAUUAAAUUAUAGACGGAGAAAAAUGUGUGCAAGUGUUGAGGGGGUGUGUUGGAGUUUGUAUAUUAAAUGUAAUGGCAGGCAACACUUGACACUUGAUUAGAUUUCGAAUAUUGGAAUUAUUUUAAAUGUUUUAAAAAACAGAUCAUUGUAUUCUCGUAAGAAAAUGUCAGUGACUUCUCAUCUAGACACGGCAAGACAAACAUGUAAUAGUUAUAUAAAAAAUAUAAAGAUAAUAAUUGUAUAAUGGUGUAAAAGUGUUCAAGCAAUCUGCAAUAUAAUUAUAAUGAAGCA